AUUGAACGCUGGCGGCAGGCCUAACCCAUGCAAGUCGAGCGGAUGAAGGGAGCUUGCUCCUGGAUUCAGCGGCGGACGGGUGAGUAAUGCCUAGGAAUCUGCCUGGUAGUGGGGGAUAACGUCCGGAAACGGGCGCUAAUACCGCAUACGUCCUGAGGGAGAAAGUGGGGGAUCUUCGGACCUCACGCUAUCAGAUGAGCCUAGGUCGGAUUAGCUAGUUGGUGGGGUAAAGGCCUACCAAGGCGACGAUCCGUAACUGGUCUGAGAGGAUGAUCAGUCACACUGGAACUGAGACACGGUCCAGACUCCUAAGGGAGGCAGCAGUGGGGAAUAUUGGACAAUGGGCGAAAGCCUGAUCCAGCCAUGCCGCGUGUGUGAAGAAGGUCUUCGGAUUGUAAAGCACUUUAAGUUGGGAGGAAGGGCAGUAAGUUAAUACCUUGCUGUUUUGACGUUACCAACAGAAUAAGCACCGGCUAACUUCGUG
rnacentral:rRNA from 1 species